GACGAACGCUGGCGGCGUGCUUAACACAUGCAAGUCGAACGGAAAGGCCCUGCUUUUGUGGGGUGCUCGAGUGGCGAACGGGUGAGUAACACGUGAGUAACCUGCCCUUGACUUUGGGAUAACUUCAGGAAACUGGGGCUAAUACCGGAUAGGAGCUCCUGCUGCAUGGUGGGGGUUGGAAAGUUUCGGCGGUUGGGGAUGGACUCGCGGCUUAUCAGCUUGUUGGUGGGGUAGUGGCUUACCAAGGCUUUGACGGGUAGCCGGCCUGAGAGGGUGACCGGCCACAUUGGGACUGAGAUACGGCCCAGACUCCUACGGGAGGCAGCAGUGGGGAGUAUUGCACAGUGGGCGGGAGCCGGAGGCAGCAACGCCGCGUGCGGGAUGACGGCCUUCGGGUUGUAAACCGCUUUCGCCUGUGACGAAGCGUGAGUGACGGUAAUGGGUAAAGAAGCACCGGCUAACUACGUG
rnacentral:rRNA from 1 species